UGAUCAGUAAUAUUGAUCAGAAAAAAAAAUUAUGCCUUGUUGACCAUAUUCUUGGAUGAAGAUCAAUGAUGUUAAUUUUCAGUCCAUCAAUUCCUGCAUUGGGCACUAAUUAGAAGGGAUAAAAAACUGUGAUGUAUUCUUGGGUGAGACCCAGGGCAACCACACCCUCAAAGGAGGUCCAGGAGAUGUGAUCUUACCAAACUCUUCAGCAGAUAAAGUAAGAAACUCCUCUGGGUAGAGGGGCCCUGAGGAUUGAAGUUUAAAAUCUUGCACUGAUGGCUGCUCCAUUCUCCCUGGACUACAGUGAGACAGGAAAAUGGUUCUGCAGAUUUGAACCCCAGUAACUGGAAGCUGGUGAAUGCACCGGUCUGUAGGACCCUCAUCUGUCUGCGCCAGGGAGUGCAGCCGUGGAGUUGCUGGGUUGGCCUGUGAGGGUACUCUAGAGAGGAAGAGUUCCAGCUGCACAUGGGGGACCCACUUCACCUUGCAGUCUCUCGUUCAGCCUGUCCAUUGCUCUGGUUGCUUUUCCAGACUCAGGUUGUGGCUGAAACUUCCAGAUUCUCAGACACUAAGCAGAAACUGGUCAGUGUUCAGAAACCUUCUGCUCCAGCACAACUGAAAUGAGAGAAGACUGAGUAAGCCUCAUACAUGGCACAGAAACACCUGCUGCCAUCACAACACACCUGAAUGUCACAUCGCCUUCUCCUCUGGGCCUGAGUAACCUGGACUCUGGGAACACGGUAGAUGCUCACGAAUUGGAAUGGCUGUGUCAUUAUCUCAGGUCAUCGGCCUAUUAUCUUCCGAUUAAAAUUCCCCCUUCUGUCUGUACAAAUGGAAUAAAUUGGUCAAAUGAGAACCUUAUUCAUAGUAACAAGCAAGGACACAAUCUCUUAACUUUCUUUGUGUUUUUAUAGAUUUCUAUGAUUUUUAUUUUGUAGAAAAUGUACACCGUAGCAUGCCAAACACCAUACAUCUCUUUAAUAAAUAAAAAGCAAUUGCUGAAAGAUUUCCUGCUCAACAGAUCAUUUUCCUAGUUCCCGCCUCAUAAAAUUUAUGGAAAAAAUGGCAAAUUUCUCAUUUAUUUGGCUGAUUUUAGCUUUGUACAUGGGCAACAAAUGCAUCCUUUGAACUUGGAUCUUCCCAUUUAUUUGCAAAGUCUCCAUGGAGGCAGCCCUGUUGCUGUUGUCUUGGGUGAGUCUCUGUACAGAACGACCAUGCUCUGGCAGAGAUAGGGGCUGGCAUCUCUUUAGCUUUCUUGGACUGGAAUUCUCCUUGUUUUUGAUUUGUGGCAUGCUUGCCUUGCCCCACACACCUGUCCCUGUCGAGAUAGGUGCCCUCUGAUUUCCACAGUGCAGCUCCAUCUCUCUCAGGUAUUACCUGCUGAAUCGUUCAGAGUGCACCCCUAUUGGUGGCCGACUUGACUUUCAGGACAUGCAGUGGUCAAGGCUCUUGUCCAGAGGUUUACCCAUAUUUCCUACUGGGUUCGGAGACACACAGGUUUCCUUUGGCUCAGACAACCCACCACUCACUGAUUCUUGUUUCCACAUCUCAAAGUACUCUGGAAAGAGAUCCAAUAAGGCUGCUAUGUCUGGUGACAGCCGCUUGUGAAGAAGCACUGAGUUUUGCCUGAGCGCCAAUCACUCUGGGCAUAACGGAAAUCCAGCUGUGUCUAUGUGUGACAGGACUCUCCAAGUAUCCGGGAGAGGAAGGCAGCCUCUUCAGGCCCAGCUCAAAUGCCACUUCAGUUCAAUCCCACCAAUGCUUGAUGAGACCUUGUUAUCUCCCCCACUCCCCUGGGACCCUAUUGCAAUUAAUUAUUUCUCCUCCUGGGUUCCUUUUAAAACUCAUUACUGUGUCUAUUGCCGUCUGGCUUAAAUUCCUGUUAAAGAUAGGCAUGUUUUUU